rnacentral:rRNA from 1 species
UACAGAGGUGGCAAGCGUUGUUCGGAAUUACUGGGCGUAAAGGGAGCGUAGGCGGACUGUUAAGUUAGAGGUGAAAGCCCAGGGCUCAACCUUGGAAUUGCCUUUGAUACUGGCAGUCUUGAGUACGGAAGAGGUAUGUGGAACUCCGAGUGUAGAGGUGAAAUUCGUAGAUAUUCGCAAGAACACCAGUGGCGAAGGCGGCUCACUGGCCCGGUACUGACGCUGAGGUGCGAAAGCGCGGGUAGCAAACAGG